CUAUUAUGUCUAAAGGUUACUGCUCUUUCCAAUAUUGAGGCUAAAAAGAGAGUUGAGUUUCUUGAGGCUGUUAGUGGCACAAUGGAUGCUCAUCUGCGCUACUUCAAACAAGGAUAUGAGCUAUUGCAUCAGAUGGAGCCUUACAUCCACCAGGUUCUCGCAUAUGCGCAGCAAUCAAGAGAGAGGUCCAACUAUGAGCAUGCAGCCCUUACGGAGAGGAU